CCGGUUGCUGUUUUGCUUCGU
rnacentral:siRNA from 1 species